rnacentral:rRNA from 1 species
UACGUAGGGGGCCAGCGUUGCUCGGAAUUACUGGGCGUAAAGGGUCCGUAGGCGGUGUGGUAAGUCGAUAGUGAAAUCUCUGGGCUUAACCCAGAGGCUGCUAACGAAACUACCAUGCUAGAGUGUGAGAGAGGCGAGUGGAAUUACGGGUGUAGCGGUGAAAUGCGUAGAUAUCCGUAGGAACAUCCGAGGCGAAAGCGGCUCGCUGGAUCACAACUGACGCUGAGGGACGAAAGCUAGGGGAGCAAACAGGAUUAGAUACCCUGGUAGUCCUAGCCCUAAACCAUCAUGACUUGGGGUUUGCCCUGUACGGGGCAAGUCCCGUAGCUAACGCGUUAAGUCAUGCGCCUGGGGAGUACGGUCGCAAGGCUGAA